rnacentral:rRNA from 1 species
AGUGAACGCUGGCGGUAGGCCUAACACAUGCAAGUCGAACGGCAGCACAGUAAGAGCUUGCUCUUACGGGUGGCGAGUGGCGGACGGGUGAGGAAUACAUCGGCAUCUACUUUUUCGUGGGGGAUAACGUAGGGAAACUUACGCUAAUACCGCAUACGACCUACGGGUGAAAUCAGGGGAUCUUCGGACCUUUCGCGAUUGAAUGAGCCGAUGUCGGAUUAGCUAGUUGGCGGGGUAAAGGCCCACCAAGGCGACGAUCCGUAGCUGGUCUGAGAGGAUGAUCAGCCACACUGGAACUGAGACACGGUCCAGACUCCUACGGGAGGCAGCAGUGGGGAAUAUUGGACAAUGGGCGCAAGCCUGACCCAGCCAUACCGCGUGAGUGAAGAAGGCCUUCGGGUUGUAAAGCCCUUUUGUUGGGAAAGAAAAGCAGCAGGUUAAUACCCCGCUGUUCUGACGGUACCCAAAGAAUAAGCACCGGCUAACUUCGUG